rnacentral:rRNA from 1 species
GACGAACGCUGGCGGCGUGCCUAAUACAUGCAAGUCGAACGCUUCUUUCCUCCCGAGUGCUUGCACUCAAUUGGAAAGAGGAGUGGCGGACGGGUGAGUAACACGUGGGUAACCUACCCAUCAGAGGGGGAUAACACUUGGAAACAGGUGCUAAUACCGCAUAACAGUUUAUGCCGCAUGGCAUAAGAGUGAAAGGCGCUUUCGGGUGUCGCUGACGGAUGGACCCGCGGUGCAUUAGCUAGUUGGUGAGGUAACGGCUCACCAAGGCCACGAUGCAUAGCCGACCUGAGAGGGUGAUCGGCCACACUGGGACUGAGACACGGCCCAGACUCCUACGGGAGGCAGCAGUAGGGAAUCUUCGGCAAUGGACGAAAGUCUGACCGAGCAACGCCGCGUGAGUGAAGAAGGUUUUCGGAUCGUAAAACUCUGUUGUUAGAGAAGAACAAGGACGUUAG